CCCUUAGAUGUUCUGGGCCGCACGCGCGCUACAAUGAUGAAUUCAACGAGUUUAUAACCUUGGUUGAAAAGCCUGGGUAAUCUUUUGAACUUUCGUCGUGAUGGGGCUAGACCCUUGCAAUUAUUGGUCUCCAACGAGGAAUUCCUAGUAAACGCAAGUCAUCAGCUUGCAUUGAUUACGUCCCUGCCCUUUGUACACACCGCCCGUCGCACCUACCGAUUGAAUGGUCCGGUGAAAUCUUCGGAUUGAGACUUUGAUUUCUUCACGGAAAACGCUGUUUUAAAAAGUUGAUUAAACCUUACCAUUUAGAGGAAGGUGAAGUCGUAACAA
rnacentral:rRNA from 1 species